UACAAUCUCGCGCGUGCAACCGCGACAUUCGCUGCAUCGCGUACGUCGGGCCUGUCGUCGACGGCGACGACGACGACGACGAUAGCGAAUUUCGUGUAAUCUCCUCGUAUCGUCCUACGCGCGCGGAAUCCGUGAUUCUUUGCGCGCGAGUCUUUACGCGUCCCGCGUACCGGCGCCUGCUGCCACGGAUCACGUGAUCCUUCGCGCUCGGUAGCUGUGCUCGGACUUGUGUAUACGAACAGAUCGGAGCGUCGAACGGAUCGAUAGGGGUGACGAUCGCCCCGGAAUGGCCAGCGCGUCGUUCGACAAGCUCUGACGGUCCCCGGGGAAUAACGACGACGGCGACGUCUGCAUCGACGCCGAUUUGGGAUCGUGACAACCUGGCGGACAGCUCGGAGCGAGACUCCCCUUGGAGUUGUGGGGGUGGCAGCGGUGGUGGCCGCAGACCCCUCAUCUCCAUUAUCGAACACCUACACACCUCCAAGAGCAGACUUCACAAUGGAUCCGAGAAGAACGGCUAUUCUGACGGCGGAGGCUCUUUCUCGUAUCAUUUCGGUGAG